UAAUACGUAGGCAGCGAGCGUUGUUCGGAGUUACUGGGCGUAAAGGGUGCGUAGGCGGUUAUUUAAGUUUGGUGUGAAAUCUCCCGGCUUAACCGGGAGGGUGCGCCGAAUACUGAAUGACUAGAGUGCGGGAGAGGAGAGUGGAAUUCCUGGUGUAGCGGUGAAAUGCGUAGAUAUCAGGAGGAACACCGGUGGUGUAGACGGCUCUCUGGACCGUAACUGACGCUGAGGCACGAAAGCGUGGGUAGCAAACAGG
rnacentral:rRNA from 1 species